rnacentral:rRNA from 1 species
UACGUAGGGUGCGAGCGUUAAUCGGAAUUACUGGGCGUAAAGCGUGCGCAGGCGGUCUGUUAAGACAGAUGUGAAAUCCCCGGGCUUAACCUGGGAACUGCAUUUGUGACUGGCAGGCUAGAGUAUGGCAGAGGGGGGUGGAAUUCCGCGUGUAGCAGUGAAAUGCGUAGAGAUGCGGAGGAACACCGAUGGCGAAGGCAGGCCGCUGGGCUGACACUGACGCUCAGGCACGAAAGCGUGGGGAGCAAACAGG